CCUACGGGAGGCAGCAGUGAGGGAUAUUGGUCAAUGGACGAGAGUCUGAACCAGCCAAGUAGCGUGAAGGAUGAAUGCCCUAUGGGUUGUAAACUUCUUUUAUAUGGGAAUAAAAGGUUCCACGUGUGGGAUUUUGUAUGUAUCAUAUGAAGAAGGAUCGGCUAACUACGUGCAAGCAGCCACGGUAAUACGGAGGAUCCGAGCGUUAUCCGGAUUUAGUGGGUUUAAAGGGAGCGUAGGGGGAUUGUUAAGUCAGUUGUGAAAGUUGGCGGCUCAACCGUGAAAUUGCAGUUGAAACUGGCAGUCUUGAGUACAGUAGAGGUGGGCGGAAUUCGUGGUGUAGCGGUGAAAUGCUUAGAUAUCACGAAGAACUCCGAUUGCGAAGGCAGCUCACUGGACUGCAACUGACACUGAGGCUCGAAAGUGUGGGUAUCAAACAGGAUUAGAUACCCUUGUAGUC
rnacentral:rRNA from 1 species